AUUGUAAUCAUGCUGAUUUAAAACUAAAAUUGACACAAUAACUAUAUGAUUUUUUGCUUGGAGAUUGUUGUGAAUGAUAAUCGUCACAAAAUCAUCGGAAAGCAUUUACUGCCGUGCCUCAUACCGAAAAUCAUUCCAUCACCAAACGAAAAUCCCCGCAGCCAAACGAAUGAACCUUCAUUCAGCCAUGUGAUCAAUCGCUGAUCCCUGAAACUGAAUGACAAUCUUGAUCGAAUGAUUUUCAAAACAAUAAUGAUGGAAUUUUGUUUAUCUUUGGUAUGAUAUGAGAUUUGAAGCAAGCUGAAUAUAUUUCAUGUUAUCCCCAUUCCGAUUAUCAUUCUAUUUUUGAUUUACCUUUCAUUUAGCUGUUGGUGCGCUAUUUGAAUUCGCAAAAAAUGGUGCCGAUCGGAGUAUUUCUUUUACUUUGAAGGGAAAAAAGACUCGCGGAGGAAAUAUUAAGUGUUUAACCAGCCAAAUAUGUACUCGUAGGCCACAAGAAUGAAUCGCCUGAUGUUUAUUCUACGACGGUUCGAGAAUCUCAGUACGAAGCCGUUUUAAGCCGCAUCGGUUUGUGCAGGAAGGAGGAUUAUGGCGUGAAAAUGGCAGCGGUGAUGCGGCAAUUUGAUUUGUGAAAUAUCGUGGUGAAAUUAUAGUAUUUCAUUAUUGAACUUUAACCA